UGUGGACUAAUGGAGGAGACGGACCUUAAUCAGAUCGUCAUUCAAAGAUACUAUUACAAACUGUUCUGAGAGCCGAGGAAGCAGGAAGGAGCUGUGAGAGACUGAGCUCUAACCUUGGCCAUCAAAGACAAGCUGUGCAGCUCUGGUUUUUUGAGGGCAGGACAUGGAGGGUCAGGCCCAGCUGGAGGCGCACCAAAGCCCAGAGAAAAUUCAGAACCACGUGAACUUGUUGGAUUUCAGCCCCUUGAAGCACAUGUUGCUAUUGCAGCUGCCUUGAUAACUGGGGGGACAGGAGGAGCACGGCUUUCCCAUCUUGUACGGGGACUCGCCAAUCCAGUUGCCCCUGGAAGAGAAAAGGACCCAGGGAGACAGAGGAGCAUUAGGUGAGUAACCUUCACACAGAUGUCCAGAUCUCAGCGCUGCCACUGACCAGCCCUGGGGACCUGGG
rnacentral:lncRNA from 1 species